GCCCACCCGGCGCGCGGCGGCGGCGGCGCUGAGGGGAGGCGGGCGGCAGGUAGAAAAGAGGCGCUUUAUUGGUGAGGUCAGUCUUGUCCCAGCGUCCCCCGGAAAGGACGAAGCGUUUCUGCCGGUUGCGCCCGUUCUGGCCGUCCGGCAGCACCGGGAGGUCUGGCACACCACAGCGGGGUGUGAUGUUUUCGAGACAUGUCCUGGAAGAGAAAAACAAAGCUGUCACUUCUGUGUCUUGGAUAUGAGAGGUCUUGAUGGAGGAAUGGACAUCUACCAACAGCAGACCUGCAGAGCUGUCUCAGUACUCAAAUUCUGUGACAACAUACAUCUCUCCAGCUCUGAUGGGGCCAGAUGAACAUCAGCCAAACUUCCCAGGAAGUGUCCCAGCCAUCCCAAGGAG